rnacentral:rRNA from 1 species
AUUGAACGCUGGCGGCAGGCCUAACACAUGCAAGUCGAACGAGUGGCGUACGGGUGAGUAAUGUCUGGGAAACUGCCUGAUGGAGGGGUCUAACUACUGUAACCGGUAGCUAAUACCGCUUACCAUCGUAUGUGCCCUGAUGGGAUUAGCUAGUAGGUGGGGUAAAGGCUCACCUAGGCGACGAUCCCUAGCUGGUCUGAGAGGAUGACCGGCCACACUGGAACUGAGACACGGUCCAGACUCCUACGGGAGGCAGCAGUGGGGAAUAUUGCACAAUGGGCGCAAGCCUGAUGCAGCCAUGCCGCGUGUAUGAAGAAGGCCUUCGGGUUGUAAAGUACUUUCAGCGGGGAGGCGUUACCGGAAGAAGAAGCACCGGCUAACUCCGUGCCAGCAGCCGCGGUAAUUC